UACGUAGGGUGCAAGCGUUAAUCGGAAUUACUGGGCGUAAAGCGUGCGCAGGCGGCUUUGCAAGACAGAUGUGAAAUCCCCGGGCUUAACCUGGGAAUUGCAUUGGUGACUGCACGGCUAGAGUGUGUUAGAGGGGGGGUAGAAUUCCACGUGUAGCAGUGAAAUGCGUAGAGAUGUGGAGGAAUACCGAUGGCGAAGGCAGCCCCCCUGGGAUAACACUGACGCUCAUGCACGAAAGCGUGGGGAGCAAACAGG
rnacentral:rRNA from 1 species